rnacentral:ncRNA from 1 species
GAUAGAGGUUGCGGAUAUGAAUAGUACUCCGACAUUUGAGCCGCGGCAAACGGCAAUCGGAGGAAAGGCUGUUCCGCCGAAGCGAAUUUUCCGGUUUGCCGCCGUUAUUCUGCUGGGUCUGCGCUUAACAGGCGCAGAACUGUCACAUACCUCGUAUGUGGAGAACUAUC